rnacentral:lncRNA from 1 species
UCCAUUUUUUUCUGUUUUUACUCCUAGUUCUAAUCCGACUUCAAGAAAAUGUCCCUAUUACCAAAUCAACUUAUUUCUUCCGAAAAAUAUCUCAAAGAAUUUAGAAGAUAAAUUCUACUCAAGUGGUGAGAGUCAAAUUUCACUUACCUUUGUUCUUAGUGAUGGUGUUAAUCUGAUUGAUGGAUUCCUCCCUUGUUCUGCUCUCGAUUCCACUGCUAGCUGAUUAAUCUGAUUGAACAAAUCACACAAAAACUCCCUCUCGGUUUACUUUAGCUACGAAUUUUCUUCCUCCUCCUCUUCGCCUUGUAGCUCGAUGCCCUCUUUUAAAGUGGAGGAACCAUCAAAACCAUUAAGGAUGGCAACAAAAUUACUAAAUUAAAUAGAGAUUACAAAAUAUUUUUUGAUAAUUGAGGCAUAAUCA